UGCAACAACGUUCAGAGCAGUUCUGUCUGUACACGCGAGAUAACGGCAACUGUGGCUUCAGCAACGUCUGCCUCACCCAGAGAAAGGGAAGACUUAUGUGGAACAUAACCCCAUGAGUAGUUCUAUGCAUGAAGACUUGGGAAACAGAAGGAUGCAGUCAAGGGUGCACAGAUGGAAGAUUGUAACAGCUCAGAUUUUAAUGGCCACGCUGGUCAGAUUUUCAUCGCUGUAUUCAGCAAGUCUCACCAAGAGGCUUAAUGGUGGCCUGUUGUCCCUUCCAUCCAUCUACCCAAGACAAAGCACAAAUGCAAUGUGACUCACCGAUAACGGCCACAGCUGCAGCUGCGGGGUAUGUCACCCUCAGCAGCACUAACCCUUUGCCUCAGGCAGCAUAUGGACAGUGACAGGCUGAUCACCCCGAUGAUGAAGAACUGGGUAGACGGAGGAUGGAUGCCUUUGAGUUGUCGAGGCCCGGGUGCCUCCCAUUCAUUGGACGGCUUCUGUCUCCUUUGCACGGUAAAUUCAGGUUGGAUCCGAAGAGGUUCCGAUUUUGCUCAGGGAGAGAUUAUUCAUAUUUUCGAACUUUUUGACAGCUGACCAAUUAAAAACUAGAUGAUGCCAUUAACAAGCUCUAAAUAAGCCAGGAUUUUGAGCAAUAGAAAGCACCGAAGUCAGUACAGUCGCACCACACGCAGCAGGAGCUGGAGAGAAAUUCAAAGAUAAUUACAGUUGAUGCUAGUGGCCUCAGGGGUACUGGGCAGGACUCAAGUCAUUAACUAUGGUGCAACAAAUUCCGUGUUUUAUACAUA